GCCAAGGGCACAAAAGGGGACUCUGGGCUCAGGCCCAGUGUCAGUUACCUGAUCACGAGAGGAGAAGGAAGAGGAGGGACAGCCCCCCUCUUGCAAGCGCCUCUCGAUUCUUUUGAACAGAGAGUGGAGGAGCACCUGGAAGAGACCUUGGUGUUCCUCAACCAGACGACAGGAGACUGCAGAGAGAGACCGGGCUCACACAGGGCUGACCAGCGAGUCAGGGGGCUCUACGCCUCAGGGCUCUGGCCCUGUGUUGCAAACUAGUCUCACUUCUGCCUCAGAACCAGUGAAGGAGCACCUGGAAGAGACCUUGGUGUUCCAACGACAGGGACCCACUACUGACAGUCACCAUGUCAGACAGGAAGGAGAAGCCCCUUGAAGGGAGGGAGCAAGCAUGCCUGCUAUGUCAGCGAUCAGAGGCUGACCCGGACAUCUGCGGGGAAAAACUCCAGAAACAUGGGAUCUGUGCCCACGUGUUCUGCCUGUAUUUUGCCAGCCUUCUUGAUCAGCAAGAGAAUGAAAGAGUAGGACUCCAGGGCUUUCUCCCAAGGGAUAUCCUACAUGCAGUCAAGCGGGCGGCACAGAAGAGCUGCUGCAUCUGUGGCCAGAGCAGGGCCACGAUCUCCUGCUGCGAAACAGACUGAGACCUGAACUUCCACCUGCCCUGUGCCAAGCAGGGACGCUGUGUCACCCAGUUCAUUACACCGUACAGGGCCUUCUGCCUCACACACAGCCCAGAACAGGCAGUGGAGGCGACUCCAGAGCCGGGCACCGAAUGUCUCAUCUGCAUGGAGCCUGUGGAGCACAGAAAGACCUUCAAUACCAUGGUGUGCCCAGCCUGCAAAACCACCUGGUUCCACAGGGACUGCAUCCAAGGACAGGCUCUGAGCUCUGGUAUUUUAUCCUUUCAGUGCCCCCUCUGCAGAAAUAUUGACACAUUUGUCAAGGAUAUGUUCACCAUGGGGAUCCGAAUGCCCUUGAGGUUGGUGUCCUUCUGCCUGGCUCACGACACAGGGGGUGCAAGUGGCAAGUGCUGUGCCAGGGCCUGCCCCAGCAGUCCAGGCCCUGCCCU